rnacentral:rRNA from 1 species
CCCCUAGAUGUUCUGGGUCGCACGCGCGCUACACUGAACAGUUCAACAAGUCUUAACCUUGGCCGAUAGGUCUGGGUAAUCUUUGAACGCUGUUCGUGAUUGGGAUAGACCUUUGCAAUUAUGGGUCUUCAACGAGGAAUUCCUAGUAAACGCAAGUCAUCAGCUUGCAUUGAUUACGUCCCUGCCCUUUGUACACACCGCCCGUCGCACCUACCGAUUGAAUGGUCCGGUGAAAUCUCGGGACGGCGGCUCGGUCGCUUGCGUCCGACUGCUGAAACUUGAUUAAACCAUAUCAUUUAGAGGAAGGUGAAGUCGUAACA